GAUGAAGAACGCAGCAAAAUGCGAUACUUGGUGUGAAUUGCAGAAUCCCGUGAACCAUCGAGUUUUUGAACGCAAGUUGCGCCCAAAGCCUUUUGGCCGAGGGCACGUCUGCCUGGGCGUCACGCAUCGCGUCGCCCCCCACAAUUCUUCGUAAAGGGAACAUGUGUUUUGGGGGCGGAUAUUGGUCUCCCGUGCUCAUGGCGUGGUUGGCCGAAAUAGGAGUCCUUUCGAUGGACGCACGAACUAGUGGUGGUCGUAAAACCCCUCGUCUUUUGUUUCGUGCUGUUGCUCGCAAGGUAAACUCUUUAAAAACCCCAAUGUGUCGUCUCUUGACGACGCUUCGACCGCGACCCCAGGUCAGGCGGGACUACCCGCUGAGUUUAAGCAUAUCAAUAAGCGGAGGA
rnacentral:misc_RNA from 1 species